GACGAACGCUGGCGGCGUGCCUAAUACAUGCAAGUCGAACGCAGUGGGGACGGGUGAGUAACCCGUGGGUAACCUCCCAUCAGAUGGGAUAACACUUGGAAACAGGUGCUAAACCGAUACUGAUUGAUGGACCCGCGGUGCAUUAGCUAGUUGGUGAGGUAACGGCCCACCAAGGCCACAAUGCAUAGCCGACCUGAGAGGGAGAUCGGCCACACUGUGACUGGUACACGGCACAGACUCCGACGGGAGGCAGCAGUAGGGAAUCUUCGGCAAUGUACGAAAGUCUGAACGAGCAACGCCGCGUGAGUGAAGAAGGUUUUCGGAUCGAAAACCUCUGUUGUUAGAGAAGCGGUAUCUAACCAGAAAGCCAAGGCUAACGACGUGCCAGCAGCCGCGGUAAUAC
rnacentral:rRNA from 1 species